rnacentral:rRNA from 1 species
AUGGAUGAUAUACUAGGAAUGGGUCAUGAAACAGCUCACCGGGUUUUCAUAGGAAGUAGCACUCGCUCGAUCACCUCACCAACUACAGCUCCUCUCCUUUUGCUUCUCUAUCCUCAUGCCUGCUCUAGCUUCUCCCUUCCUCGAGUGUGCCCCCUUGCUUCUCCUCAUUCCCAUGCUCUGAGUCCACCAGGGUCCCAAGGAAUGUCACCUCGAACCUGGUCAGCAUGUAAUGGAUCGUGCACAAGCAAAAACCUGAAAGCACACUCAACAACCAAGCCAAUACAAGUGACAGAGAGAAUGCCCUCUAAGUCAUCGAUAGAGUACCCUAUCAUAUAA